CGCUGUCUCUCAGGAGCAGCUGGGAACUGGCAUAUUUGUGAAGUUAAAACACAUGAAAGAGAGUUGAAAGAAGAAGUUGUCUGGAAGUGGGCCUGGAUCCAGGGCUCCUGAGAAGCCACUUUCUCACUGGACUCAGAUCAAUGGUCCCUUGGCCCGCCUGACUGGGCGGAUCCUCCUCUGCCAAGAGAGAACUGUUACCCCCAUUCCGGAACUCAACACUCUCUUAGGAGAGGAACGGAAUCCAUCUUAUUGUUCUAGAAACAGAGUCCCAGGCAAUAGGGACAGAGAGACUGGCCCAGCAAGGAUUCUCUGAGCCAACUGAACAGGUGACAAAGGGCACAGGAAAGGAGAUGUUGGCUCCAACGGAGCUGACCAAUUCAAGGAAUCCGUGUUCACGGAGUCCUGGCUAUACUCACGAGGUUGUGGCUUGGCCUUACUGGGACGGUAGGGGAUAGGUGAAACCCAGGUAGCUGGCAAUCUAGUUGGAGAAAUAACAAGUGGACAUAGAAGAGCAGCCUGGACAGUGGAUGCUAAAGGCCAAAUGAGCAGCACAGGUGGUCAGUGCCACCAGCCAUCAGAGGAGAGGUCAGUUCAGAGGAGAGGCCGGCCGGAAAUGCCUAGAAAAGGCAAGGAGUACGCAAAGUGGUCCAAAAGACAGCAGCCCUCAGGUGGAAAGAGCUGGGAAGGCCAUUAACCAGAGAAUUGCUGUGAGGACCAAAUGCAAGGAGAUAAUGGAUGUUAUAACACACGGAAAAGUUUAAAAUGAUUCGCAAACACGAGAUUGGGGGCAGCACCAGGGCAGAGAUGGCGGCUUCCAUUUCUUUUGUAUCCUCUCCCAGUGGCUAAUACUCACAGAAGCCACUCAACAUCUGGGUGACAGAUUGAGUGCCCUCCUGGCUGCUCACUCACUUAAACGGACUUAUAAGAAACUGAAGAGAAAAGUGGUCCCCUUUGCUUCUUAGAAGGAGAAGGGAAAGCACCUCUUUUAGAUAUGCACAUCCCACAUCUACUGAGGAAAGAAAAUCCUUAAAAUUUGUUGGAUUUGGGAAUUCAAAUGGAAUUUUUAAUACUGACUUGCAAAUUAGCACAUAGCAGCACACUCAAGGCUCAGUUCCAUUCCCCCAAGUACUUGCUGAUAUACUGUGUGCUGAGUGCCAACCCUCUGCUCAGUGGUAGAGGGAAUACAGAAGAAACACUAUAAGGUAAUAGACGUUUUUUAACAAACAUAGUAGGACUUAGAUAUCAAAAUAAAUAUUGUCCCGUUCAAAAUGGUUACUUUGGAAUGGUAUACACUUAUUCUAAUACCUUAUUUCGCUCAAAACUCUUUGGAACUCUUUGAAAAUCAAGAAUGUGAAAGCCUGUCACAUUCUUUACUGACAGUGACAAACCUUUAUGUUUGAUUAGGUGAGAGUAACGUCUCUUGAAGCCAAGCUGGAUGGCCAGCCUUAUUCAGUCAGGUCAAAAAUCUAAAUAAUGUGC
rnacentral:lncRNA from 1 species